UUAGCUCUGUACCCCAUUUUUUUUAUUCUUUUUUUCGGAGCUGGGGACCGAACCCAGGGCCUUGCGCUUGCUAGGCAAGUGCUCUACCACUGAGCUAAAUCCCCAACCCCUGUACCCCAUUUUUAAUAUGGUUAUUUGGCUCUCUGGAGUCUAACUUCAUGAGUUCUUUCUAUAUUUUGGAUAUUAGCCCUCUAUCAGUUGUAGGAUUGGUAAAGAUCUUUCCCCAAUCUGUAGUUGCCCUUUUGUCCUAAUGAAAGUGUCCUUUGCCUCUCAGAAUCUUUGUAGUUUUAUGAGGUCCUAUCUGACAAUUCUUGAUCUUAGAGCAUAAGUCAUUGGUGUUUUGUUCAGGAAUUUUCCCUCACUACCCAUGUGUUUGAGGCUAUUCCCCACCUUUUCUUCUAUUAGUUUGAGUGUAUCUGGUUUUAUGUGGAGGUCCAUGAUCCACUUGGGCGAUAAGAAUGGGUCAAUUUGGUUCCCAGAACUUAACUGAUCCCAUCCCACAGCUCCCUACUUGCAAAUCCUGUGGGGGAGAGAGCUGAACACCCAGAAGUGCAGACUAUCCUGAGACAGCAGGACAGACUGCCACUUCUGCCCACCUUUGCCCACAUCCCUGGCCCAACAGGAAACUGCACAGUGUCUCUGGACACAGGAAUAUAGGAGCAGUCAGCAGCAGGUACGUGCAGUUCUGGUCUGCUCCCGGAAUGAAACUGAACUGAAAUGGUCAAACAGCUUCCUGCACCCAAAUCCUGUAGGGGAGAGAGCUGGACCCUCAGAAGUGCAGACACUCCUGAGAAAUUAGAGAAGACUACCCUCUGCCCACAUUACCAACCCAAGAGGGAAUUGCCUAGUGCCAUCUGUGCCCCCUGGGUUCAGGGACCUAGGAGCAGUCAGGGGCAGGACCCUUCUCAUUCCUGCCCCUGGCUGAAAGAGAGUCACCUUCUGAGAGCAGAGCAGUCUGUUCCCAGAAACGGCUGAAAGAAAACAGGAAAACAGGUCUAUAGGAGUGUUGAUACACAGGCCUACAGGAGGGUCAAGCCAUUGUCAGGAACAGCAACCGGAUGGCAAGAGGGACCUACAGGAACCUAAGCAACAGAAACCAUCAGAGCCAGGUUCUCCCACCAAAGCAAAUACUGGAUAUCCAAAUACACUGGAAAAACAAGAUUUAGAUUUAAAAUCACAUUUUAUAAUUAUGAUGGAGGACAUUAAGAAGGACAUAAAUAACUCCCUCAAAGAAAUACAGGACAACACAAGUAAACGAGUAGAAGCCCUUAAAGAGGAAACACAAAAAUUCCUUGAAGAAUUAUAGGAAAACACAACCAAACAGGUGAAGGAAUUGAACAAAACCAUCCAGGAUGUAAAAAUGGAAAUAGAAACAAUAAAGAAAGCACAAAGGGAGACAACCCUGAAAUAGAAAACCUAAGGAAGAGACCAGGAGUCAUAGAUGCGAGCAUCACCAACAGAAUACAAGAAAUAGAAGAAUCUCAGAGGCAGAAGAUACCAUAGAAAACAUUGACACACCAUCAAAGAAAUGUAAAAUACAAAAAGCUCUUAACCCAAAACAAUCAAGAAAUCCAGGCCACAAUGAGAAGAUCAAAUCUAAGGUUGAUAGGUAUAGAAUACAAUAAAGAUUCCCAACUUAAAGGCCCAGGAAAUACCUUCAACAAAAUUAGGGAAGAAAACUUCCUUAACCUAAAGAAAGAAAUGGCCAUAAAUAUACAAGAAACCUAGAGAACUCUAAAUAGAUUGGUCCAGAAAAGAAACUCCUCUGGUCACAUAAUAGGUAAAACACCAAAUGCACAAAACAAAGAAAGAAUAUUAAAAGCAGUAAGGGAAAAAGGUCAAGUGACAUAUAAAGGAAGACCUAUAAGGUCUCAACAGAGAUUAUGAAAGCCAGAAGAUCCUGGACAGAUGUCAUACAGACCUUAAGAGAACACAAAUGCCAGCCCUGGCUACUAUAUCCAACAAAACUCUCAAUUAACAUUGAUGGAGAAACCAAGAUAUUCUAUGACAAAACCAAAUUUAUACAAUAUCUUUCUAAAAAUCCAGCCCUACAAAGCAUAAUAGAUGGAAAACUCCAACACAGAAAGGGAGACUACUACGUAGAAAAAGCAAGAAAGUAAUCUCCUCGCAAUGAAACCAAAAGAAGAGAAACAACAAACAUAAUUCCACCUCUAAAUACAAAAAUAAUAGAAAGCGACAAUCACUAUUCCUUAAUAUCUCUCAAUAUCAAUGGACUCAAUUUCCCAAUAAAAAGACAUGGACUAAAAGACUGGAUACGUAAAGAGGGCCCAGCAUUUUGCUGCAUACAGGAAACACACCUCAGAGACAAAGGCAGACACUACCUCAGAGUAAAAGGCAGGAAAACAACUUUUCAAGGAAAUGGUCGGGAGAAACAAGCUGGAAUAGCCAUUCUUAUUUUUUUUUUAAUCUUUAUUAACUUGAGUAUUUCUUAUUUACAUUUCGAUUGUUAUUCCCCUUCCCAGUUUCUGGGCCAACAUCUCCCUAGCCCCUACCCUUCCCCUUCUACAUGGGCUUCUCCUCCCCAUCCUCCCCCCCAUUACCACUCUCACCACAACAAUCACAUUCACUGGGGGUUCAGUCUUGGCAGGACCAAGGGUUUCCCCUUCCACUGGUGCUCUUACUAGGCUAUUCAUUGCUACCUAUGCGGUUGGAGCCCAGGGUCAGUCCAUGUAUAGUCUUUGGGUAGUGGCUCAGUCCCUGGAAGCUCUGGUUGGUUGGCAUUGUUGUUCAUAUGGGGUCUCGAGCACCUUCAAGCUCUUUCAGUCCUUUCUCUGAUUCCUUAAACGAGGGUCCCAUUCUCAGUUCAGUGGUUUGCUGCUGACAUUUGCCUAUGUAUUUGCUGUAUUCUGGCUGUGUCUCUCAGGAGAGAUCUACAUCCCGUUCCUGUUGGCCUGCACUUCUUUGCUUCAUCCAUCUUAUCUAGUUUGGUGGCUGUAUAUGUAUGGGGCACAUGUGGGGCAGGCUCUGAAUGGGUGUUCCUUCUGCCUUUGUUCUAAACUUUGCCUCCCUAUUCCCCCCAAGGGUAUUCUUAUUCCCCUUUUAAAAAAGGAGUGAAGCAUUCGCAUUUUGGUCAUCCCUCUUGAGUUUCAUGUGUUCUGUGCAUCUAGGGUAAUUCAAGCAUUUGGGCUAAUAGCCACUUAUCAAUGAGUGCAUACCAUGUGUGUUUUUCUGUGAUUGGGUUACCUCACUCAGGAUGAUAUUUUCCAGUUCCAUCCAUUUGCCUCUGAAUUUCAUAAAGUCAUUGUUUUUGAUAGCUGAGUAAUAUUCCAUUGUGUAGAUGUACCACAUUUUCUGUAUGCAUUCCUCUGUUGAAGGGCAUCUGGGUUCUUUCCAGCUUCUGGCUAUUAUAAAUAAGGCUGCUAUGAACAUAGUGGAGCAUUUGUCUUUGUUAAAUGUUGGGGCAUCUUUUGGGUAUAUGCCCAAGAGUGAUAUAGCUGAGUCCUUAGGUAGUUCAAUGUCCGAUUUUCUGAGGAACCUCCAGACUGAUUUCCAGAAUGGUUGUGUCAGUCUGCAAUCGGUGGUCUCUUUCCAAUUUUACCACGCUUGAACAUUCUUCUAGCAUGACCACACAAUAAACAACUUUUAAGGGUAAUUUAACACCUGUUACUUGACACAUAGGCUACUACACAUGAUCUGCAAUCUGCCUGAUCUGCUUGCUCAACACCAUGAAUUUCUGGGAAAGCAAUGUGGCUCAGAUACUCAUAGAUAGCAGCACAGUGGACAGAGUGGAUUCACAUGCUGGCCUCAGAGGAGAAUUUUGGAAAGAAACAACAUGCUGCUGCUCCCUGGUGUUCCCACUGCAAGGUCUGCCCAGAGAUCUGCUUUGGCAAGAGUCACCCAGCUAGAUAAGUGAAUGAAUAUGUGUAUAUAUAUAUAUAUAAUUUUAUAUAUUAUAUAUGUGUGAUCAUAACUGCUCCUAGGUAUGUUGGAGCAGUUUAUGGUAGAUAAAAAGGAGAGCAUAACUUGAGGCAGAGACAUUUAUAAGAGUCCAUUUGAACAUAACCCCGAACCAGGACAUGUGAGGGAGUGACUGGUCAACGGAGAGGGAGGUCCAAGAGAGAAAAGGGUGGAUGAAAAAGCCAGGGAUCCUAAAUGAUUGGAUUAUAUAAAGAAGGGCAGCUCAGCACCCGAUCUGAAGAAGUCUAGGGUAAGGAGUAGGGUAUGCCAGGUAUGCUGGGAGAACCUGGUGGUCAUUUCUUCUGGGUUUGAGACCUAACUUCCCAGCCUUUUCACUGAUAAUAAUGAUAAGUUGUGGUGCAAUCUUUUCUAUGACUACUUCAUACUUCAUGGCAUUGUAGUUUGGGACUCAUGAAGACUGGAAUGCUCUCCACGUUUGGGAAGAGCAGUACGUCUCACUUGCUGUCCAGGCUCUGCGGGACCACCUGGGGUUACAGAAAUGCAGUCCACAGAAAGAUGGGAAACUUCCCGGGUCCUUUUACAGUAUACCAUUAGAGACUAUUCUACUUCAUUGUAUGACUCCAUUUAUCCAGAUCGCUAAAACUUAACAACAUGAACAAAAGAAAGCUAGACAAAUGUUACCGUGAACCUGAGGAGACCUUAAAAAUAUACAAACCUUAUUUAUCAGGCACAUGUUGUUACCUAUCUACAUUUUUCAGAAACCUGGUAUUGCAGUUACCAAAGACAUAAGUAGUUAGGUAUAGCUCUCUAAGUCAGCUUCUGCUGAUCUGAGUAGACCUUAAAAACCUUGAAAUUUUAUCACACAAAAGUCCACACCAAUCCAAAAUACUCUGGAAGCCUGCUACUGUCUUCUUUGUAUAAAUGAUAAGCAGAGAGCUCAGCAGGACUAAGAAGUUUUAUAGGCGCUGCCUUAGUUGGUGCAUACCAUGUGGUCAUCUUAAGAUGAUGAUGAACUCACAUGGCAAGUACCCUUUAUCCUUGGUAAAGAUGGCGGCCAACCACGUAGUUGUCAUUUAAAAUAGUUGUUUUUCAGAUUUAUUUUUAAGUAAGAGUUGCAUCACAGCUAUAGUAAGUUGUAGCAAAUUAAGAUUACCCAUGUUUAGAUUUUUAAGCAUGCCCAAUGAACUUCCAGACAAACCUUGGCCAUUUGUUUCUUUGUGUGUGUGUGUGUGUGUGUGUGUGUGUGUGUGUGUGUGUGUCUGUCUGUCUGUCUGUCUGUCUUUAUGUGUUUUUCUCUGCCAGAAAACUUUCCUCUAGGCUUAUUUCUACAUAGUAAAAGGUUAAAGAUCACUGCCCUUGUUUUCUGCAACUGUCAUUUAGUCACAAUGUGCUCUCUAUAUUUGCCAGAUACAUCUAGAACAAGUAACUAAACAAACACAGGUUGUCUAAUAUAGAUAUGCUUAAUAGACCUGAUCUCAAUCUUGUCAGAAAUCUGCUAAAUGUUUAAGCUUAUGACAGACAAAGAUCCCAAAGCCUAACAUGACCCCCUCCCCACAAGACCCCUGAGAAGAUAAUGGGCACAAACACAAGAUUCUGCCUGGACUGUGGUAUUCCAACCACUGAGAAACACUGCUUUAUUGCCUUGCCUGCUCUUGACCUACAUACACUGUGGCCAAACAGGAUACCCAGAGAGUUAAAUGUCUCAUAUUGCCUAAGUCAAGGUGGGUCAUUUCUCAUUUCGCACAUAUUUACUCCACAGGAAAAAAACUUCAUCUUCUGGGCCUGACAGCCAGACUGACUCCACCCAAGUUGCCAUGGAAACCACAGGAACCUGAGAACUGCCCUGGAGACCACAGGGAACUGUUUACUUUGUGGACUACAGACCAACUUCUGUUAUUUUAAUUAAUACCUGACUCCUAGAUUAUAAUUGAUUCUUCCCAGAUUUCUGACUACAUUGACAGCUAAGCUUGAGAGCUAGAAAACAGACCUAGCUCCUUACCCCAAGGUAAUCCACCACUAUAUUACUUCAUUAGUCAAUUUGUUAAUUACUUAAGACUACUAGAUCUCUUAUUAAAGAGACUUUAUGAUAAAGCAUACACAAGUUCACAUAUAAGCCUUCACAGAUGUAACCUUCUACUUCCUUAUGUAAACUCAAUUUCCAUUGAUCAAAUGCUUCAUAUAUCCUCUUCUUGCUAUGUCACUGUCUUACUAUUAAUUGGUAUAGCUCUCAUAAAUUAGCCCAACUCAAAUAAAACAUUUCAUUAUAUGAUCCAACUGUAUAAUCAUAUGUUCAAAUUUUAAAUUUUCUUUUAUUGUCUUUUACCUAUGGACUUAAGGUGUUUCUCAUACAAAAACUAUAUGAUCAACUAUUUAAUCAACUACAUUCACAAGGUCAAGGUUUUGAGUUUCCUUUUCUUUCAAAUGUAAACUUAAAAUUGUUUAUCAUUAUAACACACACACACUGCAUAUAUAUAUAUAUAUGUAUAUAUAUACAUAUAUAUAUAUAUAUAUAUAUAUAUAUAUAUAUAUAUAUAUAUAUAUAUAUAUAUGACAAGAUUCUGCCUGGAUUAUGGCAUGAUAACCAUAUAUAUAUAUGCAGUCUUCUAGACAAAAGAAAAAAGCCCUUCUUGUUCCUUUUUUUUUUUUAAGAUUUAUUCAUUUAUUAUAUAUGAGUACACUGUAGCUGUCUUCAGAUACACCAGAGGAGGGCAUCGUAUCUCUUUACAGAUGGUUGUGAGCCACCAUGUGGUUGCUGGGAAUUGAACUCAGGACCUCUGGAAGAGUAGUUGGGUGCUCUUAACCGCUGAGCCAUCUCUCCAGCCCCCUUCUUGUUCCUUUUUGCUCCACAAAAGGUUUUUUAUCUUCCCUAAGCUCAUUUUAAAGACUGUUCAUAUUGUUAACAAAUAUAUCUCUUUUGUAAACUUAUAAGCUACAGGAAACCCACUCAGAUCUCUUGUGGACCAAAUAGACUCCAUCCAGAUAAGUAUACCUGCCAGUCAAUAGCCUAUGUUCUCACCUGCUACCUACUCCAGAGUGUGGGAUCUUCUCCUGUGCCAUGGGAAUGGGACCCCUCUCACCCCAACCAUUUCAAAUGUACUUUCAAAUAUACGUAUAAGAAAAAAAUUAUCCCCAAAGUAUAUAACCUUAUUCCCUACCCCCCCACACAAACAUAUAUGUGUGUGUGUGUGUGUGUGUGUGUGUGUGUGUGUGUGUGUUUCAUCAUCUUGUCAAGUCCUGGCAUUUACUACAUCCAGGACUGCUUCAGAGAAGCAACCUACACUGUCUCCUCAACCUCUACCAUUUUCCUUGAUGCCUGGGAGCCAGAGUAACUGAAGAGGAAUCCAUAAUGACUCACUGGAUCAAUCAGCAAUGAUAGACACAUAACCUUCCUAAUUUUUUUCAGCCAACUGGAAAUCAAAGUCUCAAAUUCUUCAAACCACAUAGGCCUAUUAAAGGCAGUUCAGAAAGCUAUGCAGACAAAUGGAGUUUUUUUUACUCUUAAACACUAAUCGCCUGGAGGUAAAUUUUAAAUGUGGAGAGUAAAUAAAUGCAAGAAUGCCCCUGGUAUUCCCACUUUUUAUGUUUUAAUAAUUGUUUUAAUGUUCUCUGUGCUCUUUCAGUUAUAAGGAAUGACUACAAUAUGAUUAGUAUUCCAUUCUCUAAAGAACUUCUUAAACUUUUUACAAACUACAGGCUGUUCAUCAUCUAUUUAUAUACAAAGGCAUGCCCAUAGCAGCAAAAGUUUGUAUAAGGGAAGAGCAUACCACGGAAGGAUUCUCUCAGGAUUGAGGGGUUUUUCUACCCGGAGGACGUGGUGUAUAUAUACUGUGAACCUCAGUAAAGCUUUGGCAUUCUCGUAGCAUGUAGGGAGCGGCUAAAGAUGGCGCCGACAUCUGGUACUCGAUUGUGUUAAACACCCACAAAGCGCAUGUGUUGGCAUUUCUCCGGCAGCUAUCAGGCUGGAGUGAUAUUCAUGCUAAUGAGGUAUUUCAUGCUCCACCAAUCCCUAGAGGGCAAGUAUAUAGCCAUAGCCUGUUUUUUAUAUAAGGCUGGUGCCUUUGUUGCUCGGGGUCCCUGUAUCAAUAAUGAGGUGUUCCUGCAAUAAAGGCUGUUGAAAAGAA